AGAAUCCAGAGUGUGAAGUUUCAGAGCCACUCAGCGCUCUGUGUUCACUCAGACAACAUGUCAACAUUAUUAUUGUUAUCGUGGCUCGUUGGUGUUUGUCUUUGUGUUGAAGUCAAACAAACUCCUCCGGCUCUCCUCAGACGACCCGGAGGAACAGUCCAGCUGGUCUGCACACAUAACAAGACCGACUUCACACUCAUGCAGUGGUACCAGAAAACUCCUGGAGACAACGCUCUGAAACGCAUCGGACAUGUGUCUUACAGCACCAUUGAGCCAGAGGAGGCCUUCAAGAAGCAUUUUAACAUCAAGGGAGAUAUGAUCGGAGAGAAAGAAAAGAACGGUUCUCUGGUUAUAGCCGACCUGAAGGCACCAGAUCACAGCGCAGUGUAUUACUGUGCAGAUAGCUAUGCACACUGACUGCUAAUCCCCUCUCAUUGAUACAAAAACUCUAAACCAACUCUGAUUGUUUGAUAUUAGAAAAGAAAGAGACCACAAACAGCCAGCUGCUCCAGGUUAUCUGUCACAUCCUGUUAACAGUGAUGCUGUUUCAUCUCCUGUGUCCUUUUUAAAUCUCACACAAAGAGGCAACAGCUGGAUCAACGUCGCUCACAUUGAUUUGAUGUCAGACUCAAAAUCUAGUUCAAUAAA